CAGUACCACGGGAAUACGAAGGGGGCUAGCGUUGCUCGGAAUUACCGGGCGUAAAGGGAGCGUAGGCGGAUCGUUAAGUUGGGGGUGAAAGCCCGGGGCUCAACCUCGGAAUUGCCUUCAAUACUGGCGAUCUUGAGUAUGGAAGAGGUAUGUGGAACUCCGAGUGUAGAGGUGAAAUUCGUAGAUAUUCGGAAGAACACCAGUGGCGAAGGCGACAUACUGGUCCAUUACUGACGCUGAGGCUCGAAAGCGUGGGGAGCAAACAGGAUUAGAUACCCCCGUAGUCCCUGUCUCUUAUACA
rnacentral:rRNA from 1 species